rnacentral:rRNA from 1 species
CCUGGCCUUGACAUACUAAGAACUUUCCAGAGAUGGAUUGGUGCCUUCGGGAACUUAGAUACAGGUGCUGCAUGGCUGUCGUCAGCUCGUGUCGUGAGAUGUUGGGUUAACGUCCGCAACGAGCGCAACCCUUUUCCUUAUUUGCCAGCGGGUAAUGCCGGGAACUUUAAGGAUACUGCCAGUGACAAACUGGAGGAAGGCGGGGACGACGUCAAGUCAUCAUGGCCCUUACGGCCAGGGCUACACACGUGCUACAAUGGUCGGUACAAAGGGUUGCUACCUCGCGAGAGGAUGCUAAUCUCAAAAAGCCGAUCGUAGUCCGGAUCGCAGUCUGCAACUCGACUGCGUGAAGUCGGAAUCGCUAGUAAUCGCGGAUCAGAAUGCCGCGGUGAAUACGUUCCCGGGCCUUGUACACACCGCCCGUCACACCAUGGGAGUUUGUUGCACCAGAAGUAGGUAGUCUAACCGCAAGGAGGACGCUUACCACGGUGUGGCCGAUGACUGGGGUGAAGUCGUAACAAGGUAGGCGUAGAUGA